rnacentral:rRNA from 1 species
CAGUAGCCACGGUAAUACGUAGGUCCCGAGCGUUGUCCGGAUUUAUUGGGCGUAAAGCGAGCGCAGGCGGUUAGAUAAGUCUGAAGUUAAAGGCUGUGGCUUAACCAUAGUACGCUUUGGAAACUGUUUAACUUGAGUGCAAGAGGGGAGAGUGGAAUUCCAUGUGUAGCGGUGAAAUGCGUAGAUACAUGGAGGAACACCGGUGGCGAAAGCGGCUCUCUGGCUUGUAACUGACGCCGAGGCUCGAAAGCGUGGGGAGCAAACAGGAUUAGAUACCCGAGUAGUCCCUGUCUCUUAUACA